rnacentral:lncRNA from 1 species
AUAACGUUUUGCGCGCAGCGUAUAAAUGUAACUGUGCGGGACGCCGGUGCGAGGCAGGCGAAGCGAAGCGAGGUGAAGCGAGACGCUGAGGUGGGAGGACCCGCCGGAUGUGGAGCCCUCCGCCGCCCAGCGCGAGCGUCCCUCCGAGGCCGGAGACAGCGCGUGAGUCCCUUCCGGGAGCGAGCGCCUGUGCAGCGGGGAGCGCGCGCGGGGGGAACGCGGCGGAUCGGCGUGUGGACGUUUCGAGCGACGCUGCGGCAACAUUGUAGCGACGACCGGCGGCGGGAGGAAGCGAACAGAGCGCAAAGACGGCGGCAGCGGCAGAAGCGCGUUUCACCGGUGCUUGUCGUACUUGGAAGGGGAACCUCAUAUUACGUACUUAACUGUGCCUUUCAAGACCUUGUUAUGUUGACGCACGGCGACGUUCGCAGAAGAACUGUAGACACGCACCGAACUCCCCCGUUGGGCGCUGCCCAGAUAAUGCGGUCCGAUGGUUCGACAGCGGUCGUCCGGAAUUGUACGGCGAUGAUGUCGUAGCCCACGUCCUGGGGUGUGGGUGUAGACGCGACGGCGGGCGGGGUCGCCCUCUGAUCCGUCAGACAGCCGCGAACACGUGGGGCCCUUCGAGCUCUUUCAGGCUCGGCCCGUCGGCUCGAGCGCGACAAACCCGCUUCCCUCAUCGUUCAACGUCAGCGCACCUCCCGAGGACUGCUUUACCACGGUAGGCAGAACGAGAGGAGAUCCGUCCUUAUCCGAGCAUAAAUAGCUUUGGACGAGGCUACUAAUUGCCGGUCAGGCAUGUUCCCCCCCCCCCCCUCGCACCCAUGACCCUGCAAACAAACCGGCUCCGUGCGCACGCUCUCCUGUGACCCGAAGGCCGCUGAAGAGAGACUCCGCUGCUCGGCACGAGGUCGCUGUACCGCUGCUCCAAAAAAGCGGUGACCGUGGUUGAAGUCACAAGUGUGUACCUUGAGAAGGCCUGAAUUUGUUGAAGAAAUGCAGCCUAUUCAUCCAGGAUAGGCUCUGGACCACUGCGACCCUGCACUGGACCGGUGGUUGAGGACAAACAUUCUUCAUAAGCGCUCUAAAUGAUUCUGGAAAGGAAGGGGCACGAUGAACCCUGGAAUGACCAGGCGGUGUCUCCGCUAUGUUUAUUAAGUGCGACAGGAAGUUAUACUAGGUUAUUUAUUUAGCUGAUGCUUUUCUCCAAAGCGACUUAGUAUUAAGGUUACAAUUAUUUACCCAUUUAUACAGCUGGGUGAUUUUACUGGAGCAGUUCAGGGUAAGUACUUUACUCAAGGGUACUACAGCCAGAGAUGGGGAUCGAACCUGCAACAUUCUGAUGCAAAGGAAGCAACUCUAGCCACUACACUACCAACUGUCUCGAAGUUACUGGGCACAGUGUAUAUUUAACCCUUUCCAGGUGGUACAGAGAUUCCGUUGUGUGUCUGUCAUGUCAACAUGUUGAAGAGUUUAUAUGUCACAGAAAUAGAGUAAUAAAUUUACACUGUUUUCGUUUUCA